CAAUGAUGCAAUAUUAUAACAAAUAGCUUUACCAUAUUCCGAAAAGAAAAUUGUUCUUUCAAAAAAAUAAAUUUCCCUUUACUCUCUCGAAAGGUUAAAAUAUUUCUCUUUAUUAUUAUUAUUUUGUAAAUAAUUAUCAAUUUAUAAAGAGCUCUUACAAAUUGAAAGUGCAAAAACUACGAUUUAAUUAGUUAUAGGAGAACAUGAAUUUCUUAAGCAAUAUAGUCCAACUGUAUUCUAUUUUUGAUAUGCAAAGUGGAAAAAAUAUAGCUAGAAUUCUCAAAAAAAAAUAUAUUUUGAUUCUAUGUUAUUUAUUAGUUUUUGUUGCAACACAAGUUGCUGGAGAACGUAUUAAAUGUGAAACUCAUGAUGAUUGCCCCACUUCUAGAAUUGAGCAUUACUUCCAAUUCAUAUAUAUGACUGUUAUGUGCGUUGACAAAUCUUGUUACUAUCGUGUAAAUUUUGAGUGAUUCUAUGAGUACCAAACUCAUGAACUACUAAAACGUCCCGUGGAGAAGAACAAUUUACUGUGCUAGAAUAAAAUAUCGAAUAAAUUGUCAUUUAAUUAUUGUACGAAUCCUUAAACUUUUUCUAUGUUUUUCUUUUCCUAGUUUCAUAAACAUUGCAUUUAAGAUUUUCUACAAAAAUAUUAUGAUAAGACAACAAAGAAUACUACUUCCAUUGUCUUAUUAUUUAUUAAUUAAAUAAAUUGUUGUUUUAGUGUUCAA